GUCCAACUCGACUCCCAUAUUCCAUUUCAUCCAAAAAGACUCUUCCCACUAUGAAGUCUGUGGUUUAGACUUCUGUUCGGGAGGAAGUGCAUGCCAUCAUUCCCUUUGAAACGCCACUAGUUGCCAUCUUGCUUGGAAAUCAGUAACAGGUUGCGGUUUCCUGUCGAGUAGGAUUCCAGCGCAAGGAGAUCAAAUUAACUUUACCGGUGGAAAUAAAGAAAUGGAAUGGCAUGGCAUCAUGUGGAUGAAAAGAAAAAGGAAACACAGAACCUAAGAACAGUACCUUUUAAGGGAUGAACUGGGUUCGAUUUAACGCAAAAAGUAGAACCAUUUGGCCUAAGUUGGAACAUGAUCAUAUCCAAGGUCUCCAUUUAGACUCCCAGGGGAGUCACUUCGUCGUGUAUGUGCAUCCCUAUCGUGCUUGCUUUAGCAAAUCAUUGCACCUCUCGGUAGAGAGGCACCAGCAAAAAGAGGAGAGCAGGCAGUGGCCAACCCCCAUCGCCUGCUCAUUAGAAUUCCCCUCGAGAGCAGGGAGAAGUUUGGAGGUGUCGGUAGAAGCAAACCAUCUUCCAUUACCUUUCUGACUUGAUACAGCUCCCGGUGGUAGCCAUGCUGCAGCUCCUGUCGGCCGUGACGAGGAGGCUGAGAUGGCCCAAGAAGCGCAGCGCACGGGUGUUCGACGAGGCGGCUCUGGCGCUCACUCCCGAGGAUGCAGCGGCCGCGCGCCGCCCGUGGGGAGCUCUCGCGACGCUGUUGGCGAUCGCUCGUGCGCCGCUGGCGGUAGCGACUUGCUUUGCAUGCCAGGCUGAGGACAUGGAAGCAGGGGGCCGUCUCCAUGCAGCGGAGGUAGGUGAUUUGAUGGUCGGGGAGGCCAUGCGCUUUGCCAUCUAUCUGUAGGCGUUCGGCUUUGAUCUUUGUCUAUAUAUAAGAAUGAUAUGAUGUACUUUGGAAUACCGAGGAAGAAAAAUAGAGAGGAUUUCAAAUGGUUGUCUUGGUUUCA